GGCAUGUCCAGUUCAUGCAACCUUUGCAUCUUUACAUAUCUUUGCCUUACUACCAUUUUAUUUUUGCUGCUUUGGGAUUAGGUUCCGAAGUCAUGCCUUUGCCUUACUGUUGUGCUGAUACUGGAUGCAACAUUGUGGACCUCUGGUUCGAGCAUGGCCACGGAUUGUAGGGGAGGAAUGUAUUGCCUAAUGAGUUGUAUGCUUUCUUCAGAUCCUCUGUGCUCCCUAUCACAUCUGGCUUGGCCACCUAUAGAUUCUUGGGUCCAGGUUCCCGAUCUAAAGCGGAGGAACACGAGGUCGCAUCCAUUAAGUGGCAGAAGGGGGUUGCAACGAUUUUCUUCAGUCUGACAAUCAUAUAGUAAUUAGACGGUGUAGUACUAUGGCGGUGGUAUACUGAUUUGGUGUAAGAAUCACUAACAUGACUUUGCGUGUACAAAUCUUACAGACUUGCUGUUUUUUGUUCAGUUGAAGGGCCCUCCAGGCUUAAGAUCUUUCGAGGAUAAUUGUGUCAUUGAAUCUGAAGGACAAUUUCCUGGAUU